ACCGUCAGCAGCAUUUCCAACUAGAGUUGGCAAUUCCAACCAGAAGUGUUAUGAAAGGGUGUUGGACAAAUAUACAGCACACUCUAAGAAUGUGCAUAUUGUAAAGCUGAAAGGAAACAGCGUGUCGCCAAGCAUCAUCGAUUAUCCAGAGCAGUGCCGGAAAAUGAAGAGGAGGAGGCAUAGAGGGGAACUUUAUCAAGGAGACCACUUUGGAGUAGGAAGAUGAAAAAGAGGUGGAAAUGGAGGAAGAGGGGGAAUGCAGGGAAAAGACAAACAUGUACAAGAAGCAACUUAAAGAAGCCGUGCUGUGAAACUUCCUUCAGGUGAAAAGAACUUCUCUGCUACUAAAGCAGCAAACUCUUUCCUUUCCUUUGCUAGUUUUGCCAACAUCCUUCACCUUUAAUGUCCCUAUUUCCAUCAGAGUAUCCAACAAUCUGCACUUACUUUGUUGGAAUUUCCCCUUUACUAUGUAGAAACUGCACCUUUGGAAAGCGAAGUCUUCACGAAGUUCGUCAAAGAAAUAACCUUAUACCUGGGAAAUCUGCAGUAAAUCUUUAAAAUAGCUAGAUCAAGUGACUGCUCAUAAAAUUAUCCAUAGCAAGGACAAACUCUACAAAUGCAAACUUUGAGCGGAAACAUUUGCUUGCAGAUAUGUGUACAAGAAUCAUGAAAAGACACACCCAGAAAACAGAGAAUUCCAUUGUGAGGAGUUUAAGGCUUUGUUUUUGUUAAGUUUGAAGAAAGACAGGUGGCCAAAGCAUUAAACAGUAGGACCUUUAUUAUGUUCACUCUACAGGCAUCAAGGUCAGAGAGACUCUUUGUUCCCCCAAAACAUCAUCAUUAAGCCAUAUGAUUGGACCCUUAAAGUGACAGUCCACUAACACAAAUGCACAACAUUUUUGGACUCCCUAUUCCUUGCAGAGACAUCUAUUAAUGUGUUUCAGUAAAUAAACUUUCAAAUGUGA